GUCAACUACAAAAGAGCAGGCACUACCGGUGGCGCCUUAUGGGCUCGGCGGCUGUGCACAGACGCAGAUCGCUAAACGGUUCACUCUCGUCAUGCAGUUCUGCCUCCUGUGCACUGCAAACUGCCUGGAGCACGACGUGGUCACGGCCGCUACGUACAAGCACGGCGAUCUCAUCUACCAUCAAGCUACUGAUCAGUUUCUGCGGCCACCCAUCAGACCACCUCAUCAUACAACGACAGCAAGCGCAGAGGGCAGCCUCUGCAAGUGACGACACCGUGCGGAACAAGUAUAAAGGGCCACCCUUUGGAAUACGCGACGGAAAGAAUGCGGUCCAAUCCUCUGCUCUUCUUUGUGCAGGUUGCGGGGCUCGUCGCGUUGCCUGCACUGUACGCCUUGAAUCCGGGCAAGCAUCAGCAAUGCAAUAGGCGGUCUGUUGACGACUUCGGAACAUCUCCUACAGCACUAAGGAUCCUGGCUUGACGACACGCUUUGUUUCUCCCUGCGACCUGCUAUUGUCUGCUACUGCCAUCUGUGAUCACUGGUCGUAAUCUUCUGGACGUUAUCGCCUGCAUCUCGUGGGCGUCAAAACGGCCAUACUUCGCUCACUUUGGCAGUGACAGCGGUGGCAACAGUUUACUGAGUAACGACGUUCUGCUGGUAUUUGCCAGUUGGUCGUACAUUUCCACACAUUUUGUCAGCACAUGCGCGCAUACUGCCACUGUUGCUGCUGCCAUAAGUGUAAUUGAAAGUAUCUGUUCCUUCGCUGUUUUUGUUUGCUGUUGGGUUGCGGUUGCAGUUGCGUUGUUACUGUUCUACCACAAUUUAUUUCUUGUUUUGCUGGCUGUUGUUACCCUUAAGAUGCCAAAAGAGAUCAGAGCACUUUUUGAAGAAUGAAAGCAUGAAGUGCGCGUAGAGUUCAAGGACUAAGUAUCGAGCGAGAUUUCGCAAAGAAUUAAGAGAUAUGAAGUCUUUCUUGGCUGAGCUGAACAAGAAAUACGAGGAAAUAAAGGCAGAAAACAAAGAACUUAAAAAGUCAUAUGCUAAGUUACAGGCAUGGUGCUCUGAUCUCGCACAUCAGACCAUGAUUGCAGAAUCCUUCAAGGGGAACAGUAUUCUCGGAAGGGAAACGCUGAAAUUAAAGGUAGCGCU